CCCUUAGAUGUCCUGGGCCGCACGCGCGCUACACUGACAUGUUCAACAAGCCUCCUAGUUCGACAGGAUUUGGGAAAUCUUUUAACGCAUGUCGUGAUAGGGAUAGAUCAUUGCAAUUAUUGAUCUUGAACGAGGAAUUCCUAGUAAACGCGAGUCAUCAGCUCGCAUUGAUUACGUCCCUGCCCUUUGUACACACCGCCCGUCGCACCUACCGAUUGAAUGUUUCGGUGAAGAUUCCGGAUAGGACUUUUUUGAUUUAUUUCAAUUUUGUCUUAAAAGCUAUCUAAACCUCAACAUUUAGAGGAAGGUGAAGUCGUAACA
rnacentral:rRNA from 1 species